AACGAACGCUGGCGGCAUGCCUAACACAUGCAAGUCGAACGAGACCUUCGGGUCUAGUGGCGCACGGGUGCGUAACGCGUGGGAACCUGCCCUUAGGUUCGGAAUAACUCCCCGAAAGGGGUGCUAAUACCGGAUAAUGUCUUCGGACCAAAGAUUUAUCGCCUUUGGAUGGGCCCGCGUUGGAUUCGCUAGUUGGUAGUGUAAAAGCCUACCAAGGCGACGAUCCAUAGCUGGUCGGAUAGGAUGAUCAGCCACACUGGGACUGAGACACGGCCCAGACUCCUACGGGAGGCAGCAGUGGGGAAUAUUGGACAAUGGGCGAAAGCCUGAUCCAGCAAUGCCGCGUGAGUGAUGAAGGCCUUAGGGUUGUAAAGCUCUUUUACCCGGGAUGAUAAUGACAGUACCGGGAGAAUAAGCUCCGGCUAACUCCGUG
rnacentral:rRNA from 1 species